rnacentral:rRNA from 1 species
CGUAGGGUGCGAGCGUUAAUCGGAAUUACUGGGCGUAAAGCGUGCGCAGGCGGUUUUGUAAGACAGAUGUGAAAUCCCCGGGCUCAACCUGGGACCUGCAUUUGUGACUGCAAGGCUAGAGUACGGUAGAGGGGGAUGGAAUUCCGCGUGUAGCAGUGAAAUGCUUAGAUAAUGCGGAGGAACACCGAUGGCGAAGGCAAUCCCCUGGACCUGUACUGACGCUCAUGCACGAAAGCGUGGGGAGCAAACAGGAUUAGAUACCCUGGUAGUCCACGCCCUAAACGAUGUCAACUGGUUGUUGGGUCUUUACUGACUCAGUAACGAAGCUAACGCGUGAAGUUGACCGCCUGGGGAGUACGGCCGCAAGGUUG